rnacentral:rRNA from 1 species
UACGUAGGGUGCGAGCGUUUAAUCGGAAUUACUGGGCGUAAAGCGUGCGUAGGCGGUUCGUUAAGUCAGCUGUGAAAGCCCCGGGCUCAACCUGGGAAUGGCGAUGGAUACUGGCUCGCUAGAGUGCGGUAGAGGAGAGUGGAAUUCCCGGUGUAGCAGUGAAAUGCGUAGAGAGUCGGGAGGAACAUCAGUUGCGAAGGCGGCUCUCUGGACCAGCACUGACACUGAGGCACGAAAGCGUGGGGAGCAAACAGG